rnacentral:ncRNA from 1 species
AAUAUGACAUUGAUUAGGAGAGUAGACAUGUUGAUGCUUAAAGAGAAGGGCUGUCACUGGCUGAAAGCAGCCUAAAGCUAUAUACAGGUUGAAAUGCACCUAUGAGUCUGAGGCUGAAAUUAAUAAGUAGGUCUUCACGGAUAGCUCCGUUAAAGGUUAUUUGAGAGAGAUAUAAUGUAACAGCAAUACUUUCAAAGGGAACUGUUAGGUUUUGUUUUUAAGUAUGACCUAAGAGAUUCAAUUAUAAUUCUACGGUUUAGAAGUUAGUAGCUAACUUAAUAGGAUUAACCUUAAAGUAUAUUACUAUAUCUAAUCAGAGUGGAACCGCGGAUAAAUCUCCGUCUCUGAA